UACGUAGGGUGCAAGCGUUGUCCGGAAUUAUUGGGCGUAAAGAGCUCGUAGGCGGUCUGUCGCGUCGGCUGUGAAAACCCGGAGCUCAACUCCGGGCCUGCAGUCGAUACGGGCAAACUGGAGUGUUGCAGGGGAGACUGGAAUUCCUGGUGUAGCGGUGAAAUGCGCAGAUAUCAGGAGGAACACCGGUGGCGAAGGCGGGUCUCUGGGCAGUAACUGACGCUGAGGAGCGAAAGCGUGGGGAGCGAACAGG
rnacentral:rRNA from 1 species